CCUACGGGAGGCAGCAGUGAGGAAUAUUGGUCAAUGGGCGGAAGCCUGAACCAGCCAAGUAGCGUGCAGGAUGAAGGCCCUACGGGUCGUAAACUGCUUUUACAUGGGAAUAAAACGUUCCACGUGUGGGGGUUUGCAGGUACCGUACGAAUAAGGACCGGCUAAUUCCGUGCCAGCAGCCGCGGUAAUACGGAGGAGCCGAGCGUUAUCCGGAUUUAUUGGGUUUAAAGGGAGCGUAGGCGGGCGGUUAAGUCAGCUGUGAAAGUCGCCGGCUCAACCGUCGAACUGCAGUUGAAACUGGCCGCCUUGAGUACAGAAGAGGCUGGCGGAAUUCGUGGUGUAGCGGUGAAAUGCAUAGAUAUCACGAGGAACCCCGAUUGUGAAGGCAGUCUGCCGGACUGCAACUGACGCUGAGGCUCGAAGGUGUGGGUAUCAAACAGGAUUAGAUACCCUUGUAGUC
rnacentral:rRNA from 1 species